CAGGAGGGUGCUGGGAGCUAGUGGUUCCGCGUUCCCGGUUGUUGGUUCUGUCCAAAGUAGAACUCACUUUGCUGACCACUAAGGAUAUCCCAUCGAAGCACUGAAAACUGCCUCACUUCUGCAUUCUUUAUAUAGCCAUCCUUCCAAAGAGAAAACAUCUCUGCAUAACUGCUGGAGUCCUGCCACUGCAAGCCAUGGAAUAAGCACCAGGUAGCAGAAGUAACUGGGAAGCUUCAUCUGAACCUACCGUGUUCGUCAUGAUUACAAAUGCCUUCAGUGCAGGCAACGUCUGAACCCUCCCGAGAACCUGUUUCACUCCCUUCCAUGCUAGAUGAAUAUCCAC